rnacentral:rRNA from 1 species
UACGAAGGGGGCUAGCGUUGUUCGGAAUUACUGGGCGUAAAGCGCGCGUAGGCGGUGAUCUUUGUCAGAGGUGAAAGCCUGGGGCUCAACUCCAGAAUUGCCUUUGAAGCGGGAUCGCUUGAGUCCGAGAGAGGAUGGCGGAAUUCCUAGUGUAGAGGUGAAAUUCGUAGAUAUUAGGAAGAACACCGGUGGCGAAGGCGGCCAUCUGGCUCGGUACUGACGCUCAGGCGCGAAAGCGUGGGGAGCAAACAGG